rnacentral:rRNA from 1 species
AGAGUUGAUCCUGGCUCAUGAUGAACGCUGCGGCGUGCCUAAUACAUGCAAGUCGAGCGAACAGACAAGGAGCUUGCUCCUUUGACGUUAGCGGCGGACGGGUGAGUAACACGUGGGUAACCUACCUAUAAGACUGGGAUAACUUCGGGAAACCGGAGCUAAUACCGGAUAAUAUUUCGAACCGCAUGGUUCGAUAGUGAAAGAUGGUUUUGCUAUCACUUAUAGAUGGACCCGCGCCGUAUUAGCUAGUUGGUAAGGUAACGGCUUACCAAGGCGACGAUACGUAGCCGACCUGAGAGGGUGAUCGGCCACACUGGAACUGAGACACGGUCCAGACUCCUACGGGAGGCAGCAGUAGGGAAUCUUCCGCAAUGGGCGAAAGCCUGACGGAGCAACGCCGCGUGAGUGAUGAAGGUCUUCGGAUCGUAAAACUCUGUUAUUAGGGAAGAACAAACGUGUAAGUAACUGUGCACGUCUUGACGGUACCUAAUCAGAAAGCCACGGCUAACUACGUGCCAGCAGCCGCGGUAAUACGUAGGUGGCAAGCGUUAUCCGGAAUUAUUGGGCGUAAAGCGCGCGUAGGCGGUUUUUUAAGUCUGAUGUGAAAGCCCACGGCUCAACCGUGGAGGGUCAUUGGAAACUGGAAAACUUGAGUGCAGAAGAGGAAAGUGGAAUUCCAUGUGUAGCGGUGAAAUGCGCAGAGAUAUGGAGGAACACCAGUGGCGAAGGCGACUUUCUGGUCUGUAACUGACGCUGAUGUGCGAAAGCGUGGGGAUCAAACAGGAUUAGAUACCCUGGUAGUCCACGCCGUAAACGAUGAGUGCUAAGUGUUAGGGGGUUUCCGCCCCUUAGUGCUGCAGCUAACGCAUUAAGCACUCCGCCUGGGGAGUACGACCGCAAGGUUGAAACUCAAAGGAAUUGACGG